UCUACAUCUCAACAUUUUGGUUAGAACUGAUCACUUUAUUUGCUGCAGGACUGAAGCUGUCUUGAUAUCUACAAUACAUUGGACACUACAUGCAGGAUUAUGAAUGGAUACCUGAACACUGCUUGAAGGAGCAAGCUCUACAGCAUCACUUAUGCUCCUUUCCAUGGGUUGGCAAGAGGAACCGUGGCACGCAACUCUACAGGCACCUGUGCUCUUCACUACCUUCGGAGGAGAGAUGCAUUGAAUGCUCCCUAUCAUGCACUGCCAUCUCAACAGUACCAUGGCUUUUUGUGUGGAUUCCUUCCCUUUUGAAGGCCACCACUGUUUGCACAGCAUCACAGCCUGCCUGCCUUGAUCUUGCGGAAGAAGAAAAUACAAAAUGCCUAUUUUUUGAAAUGCAUGCAUGGCUUCAUGCAACACCACCUGUUGUCGGGGUGUUAAGGCUUUUUGCAGAGAAAAUGUAAUGACGCCUUAUGUGUGCCCUGGUGGCAAAGUGUUUGCCUCUUUGCCUGUGUAAAAAUUUCACACUUAUGGAUACUGUUAAAGGUUCCUGUAUCAUAUUUUCUUUCACAUCCUAAGAAAUUUUUGUUUCAUUAUAAAACUAAAAAUUAUAGUUGAAUUGCUGCUUUGUGUGAUAUGCAAUAUUCAGCUGAAGGUGAUCAGCAGAGGUCGAACAAGUGUUAUGUCAGGUGGAGAAAUUUUUUUGAGAAGUGGACUUCUUCGUUAGGGUAACAACCGUUUUCCUUGGCAGUAUUUAUAUAGUUCACUUUUCUCCACUCCAUGGAUAUCCAGCAAAAUGAGUGAGUGCAUAGAGAAGGUGAGGUAAGUUUAAAUGCUCACCAUGGGGGUUUAGUUGGGGUAGCAAGGUGUGUAGAAGUAUGGGAGUUUGGCAGGUUGCUGGCACCAAUUUCUAUUAGUGAUCUUGUUGUUUGUGUCUAUCUCAGUUAUAUAAUGCGAGGCGUCUUCUGACGCCAGAAAUUUUGAAAAAAAAAACUCCUUAUAUUUGUGGAAAUUCAGUAUGUGCCCCUGGGGCUACUACGAGCACUUGGGGCCACUGGGUAGAUGCAGCUCUCCAAUGAACUUUUUUGACACAAACUUGUGUAUGUACGCUGGGUGUGUGCCACUGCAUAUGUGCCACUCUUUAAUGAACCUCUUUGAUGCUGACUUAGGUCAUGGGGCAUCACAACACAAACCUAUGUAGCGACAUCUGUGUAUGCAAGUAAGUGUGAGCUGGAAUUGUCUGCUUGGAUUUUCUUUCCCUGAUGACGACUAGUCCCCUUGUUGAAUUAACUUCAGCCUGAGAUAUCACCUGUUUGUCUACUGUUAUCACAUUAUGCCCAUUUUGCUGUGAACUUGUCAUGUUCUCUAGCUGGCAAGCUUGAAUUUCAGGUGCUGCACGCUAAGGAAAUUGAUUCAGAGUGGGUGGUACCACUUCUGCUUUUUCUUUGCAGCUGUGUGUUACAUGAGAGAAUAAGUUGUACGUAGAUGUCUAUUAGAAAUAGCAUAGGUAUUCAAAGGUACUUUCACUAUGUUCUAGGUCAUUGGUGCUGUCUGGCCUCCUUUGCAUCAUUUUUUGUAGCAUGCUUUUUACAUGCAAAAACAAAUGUGGCCUGUUCUAAUGCAUGCAAGGACUGCCCAAUAGCUCAUGAUGUUUUGAGCCGCUGAAUUUCAGUCUUGGCUGCACUCUUGGAUUUUCAACUGUACUGAAGCUUGGAAUAUGCUUGAAUUUCCUGUCAAACUGGUUUGCUUGUUUGUAUCCAAUUUAUUGAAUUAUUUCACUUUCAUUAUGCUAAUAGUCAUUGAUUGUACUAUCAUGCUGGCACAUUUCAUUCUGGAACUGCAAUAAAUUUCCAGACAUUUUA